UCAAAGGAACUGUGUAGCAAAAAGAAGCCAGAACUUGAAGAUUUAGAGAAUUCUCAGCCCUUCUAUAUUGCGCAAUGAGAAAGCAUGCUCUGGAGAGGAUGCCAGUGCUGUUGCCGGACCAUCAACAUUUGAUGGAGCAGGUACCGAGAAUGGGCAGAUCCAUAAAGUAAAAUGGAGGCUUCCAGGAGCAGGGAGGAGUGAGGAGUCCGUGUUUCAUGGACACAGUUUCAGUUUGGGAAGAUGAACCAGUGCCGGGGCGGAGAAUGGGGAUGGCUUCACACAGUGCGCGUGGACUCAGCACCACUGACCUGCGCACUUACACACAGGAGUUCCCAAGACUACCCCAGGUGUGAUGUUCACUAGGACACACAAGACUCAUCAUAGCACACUUGGCUGUAAUUCUAACAAAGGGAUACAAAGCAAAAUCCGCAAACAGAAACCGCACAAGCAAGUCCACAGGAAACAAGCCUCCGAGAAUCCUCUCCCAGUGGAGUCACACAUGACCACUUAAACCCUCCACCAGUGACUUGUGACAUGUGUUAAAUGUUAUCUAACAAGGAAGCUCAUUAAAGGCUCAUUGCCCAACUUUUUAUGUCACA